rnacentral:miRNA from 1 species
GUUGUCUGGCUCGAGGCC